rnacentral:misc_RNA from 1 species
UUAAGUUCAGCGGGUAGUCCUACCUGAUUUGAGAUCGAACGUUCAAAUGCUGUCUUCACUGGGGAGAGACGUUUAUAAGCUCCAGCGAACCCCCAUCACUGGAGGUUACUCAGAGACAACCACAAGUGCAGAUAGUUAUCACACCCAUGAUGCCACCAAACACUGGUAAGCUGAUCCAUUUGAGAGGAGCUGACCACAGG